GGCUCGAUCGGGAUACUCAUCAAAUUAUUUCGAAAAAAGAGAAUACUUCUCAUGUCAAUGGCGGGCCACAUCCUUCGGGAGAGCUGUUACAGCCGGUGGAUUACAAAGACGGAAAGCUCUCAAAUCAUGAGAAAACGGAGUUUUCAUCACAUCACCGAUACGACCAUC
rnacentral:sRNA from 1 species